UCAUCAUGAUGUAUAAAUAUUAGCAGACGCACUGUGUUGAUCAUAAAACGAGCUUUUUAAAUCUGACUUAC